rnacentral:misc_RNA from 1 species
AAGACUAUAGACCUGCGGAGUACCUGCGGAAGGAUCAUUAAUGAAUUUUAGGACGUUCUUUUUAGAAGUCCGACCAUUUCAUUCUCUUACACUGUGCACACACUUCUUUUUACACACACUUUUAACACAUUAGUAUAAGAAUGUAAUAGUCUCUUAAUUGAGCAUAAACAAAAAUAAAACUUUUAACAAUGGAUCUCU